UACGAAGGACCCGCGCGUUAUCCGGAUUCACUGGGUUUAAAGGGUGCGUAGGUGGGCAGGUAAGUCAGUGGUGAAAUCUCCGGGCUUAACCCGGAAACUGCCAUUGAUACUAUUUGUCUUGAAUACCGUGGAGGUCAGCGGAAUAUGUCAUGUAGCGGUGAAAUGCUUAGAUAUGACAUAGAACACCAAUUGCGAAGGCAGCUGGCUACACGAAUAUUGACACUGAUGCACGAAAGCGUGGGGAUCAAACAGG
rnacentral:rRNA from 1 species